rnacentral:rRNA from 2 species
CUUAAUUGGGCGUUAAGUUGCAGGGUAUAGACCCGAAACCCGGUGAUCUAGCCAUGGGCAGGUUGAAGGUUGGGUAACACUAACUGGAGGACCGAACCGACUAAUGUUGAAAAAUUAGCGGAUGACCUGUGGCUGGGGGUGAAAGGCCAAUCAAACCGGGAGAUAGCUGGUUCUCCCCGAAAGCUAUUUAGGUAGCGCCUCGUGAAUUCAUCUCCGGGGGUAGAGCACUGUUUCGGCUAGGGGGCCAUCCCGGCUUACCAACCCGAUGCAAACUGCGAAUACCGGAGAAUGUUAUCACGGGAGACACACGGCGGGUGCUAACGUCCGUCGUGAAGAGGGAAACAACCCAGACCGCCAGCUAAGGUCCCAAAGUCAUGGUUAAGUGGGAAACGAUGUGGGAAGGCCCAGACAGCCAGGAUGUUGGCUUAGAAGCAGCCAUCAUUUAAAGAAAGCGUAAUAGCUCACUGGUCGAGUCGGCCUGCGCGGAAGAUGUAACGGGGCUAAACCAUGCACCGAAGCUGCGGCAGCGAACGUAUCACUUAAAGCGAUUCAGCGGGUUACGAUUGACGGAGCGAAGCGACGUCAAAGCGUAUACAAAGUCGAGUCGGUUUAAGGAUACGUUCGUUGGGUAGGGGAGCGUUCUGUAAGCCUGUGAAGGUGUGUCGUGAGGCAUGCUGGAGGUAUCAGAAGUGCGAAUGCUGACAUAAGUAACGAUAAAGCGGGUGAAAAGCCCGCUCGCCGGAAGACCAAGGGUUCCUGUCCAACGUUAAUCGGGGCAGGGUGAGUCGACCCCUAAGGCGAGGCCGAAAGGCGUAGUCGAUGGGAAACGGGUUAAUAUUCCCGUACUUGGUGUUACUGCGAAGGGGGGACGGAGAAGGCUAUGUUGGCCGGGCGACGGUU